rnacentral:rRNA from 1 species
CGCGUAGGAGACGAGCGUUAUCCGGAUUUACUGGGUGUAAAGCGCGUGCAGGCGGUAUGGUAAGUUGGAUGUGAAAGCUCCCGGCUUAACUGGGAGAGGUCGUACAAGACUGCCAAACUAGAGGACAGCAGAGGGGAGUGGAAUUCCGAGUGUAGCGGUAAAAUGCAUAGAUAUUCGGAAGAACACCAGUGGCGAAGGCGGCUCUCUGGGCUGUACCUGACGCUCAGACGCGAAAGCUAGGGUAGCAAACGGGAUUAGAAACCCCGUGU